CCCUUCGAUGUUCUGGGCUGCACGCGCGCUACAAUGGCAACGACAGAGAGCGUGAAUUAAUUAUAGAGUCGCAUCGAGAGAUGUGACGAAUCAGCAAUCGUUGUCGUGAUUGGGAUUGAGCGUUGUAAUAUUUGCUCAUGAAAGAGGAAUUCCUCGUAAGCGCGAGUCACCAACUCGUGUUGAAUACGUCUCUGCCCUUUGUACACACCGCCCGUCGCUACUACCGAUUGAACGUUUUAGUGAGGCAUUUGGACCGACGCAUCUCAGUUUAACCGCUGGUUUGUGUUGGAAAGACUUCCAAACUUGAGCGUUUAGAGGAAGUAAAAGUCGUAACA
rnacentral:rRNA from 1 species